ACUUUUUGUCUAAAAAAUGAUGUCUCACUUUUUCCAUUUUUCCAUAGGUUAACAUGGAAAAAGUGAGACAUCAUUUUUUAGACAAAAA
rnacentral:pre_miRNA from 1 species